GAUGAACGCUGGCGGCGUGCCUAAUACAUGCAAGUAGAACGCUGAAGGAGGAGCUUGCUCUUCUGGAUGAGUUGCGAACGGGUGAGUAACGCGUAGGUAACCUGCCUGGUAGCGGGGGAUAACUAUUGGAAACGAUAGCUAAUACCGCAUGACAACAGUUAUUGCAUGAUAACUGUUUAAAAGGGGCAACUGCUCCACUACCAGAUGGACCCGCGUUGUAUUAGCUAGUUGGUGAGGUAACGGCUCACCAAGGCGACGAUACAUAGCCGACCUGAGAGGGGGGUCGGCCACACUGGGACUGAGACACGGCCCAGACUCCUACGGGAGGCAGCAGUAGGGAAUCUUCGGCAAGGGGCGGAAGUCUGACCGAGCAACGCCGCGGGAGUGAAGAAGGUUUUCGGAUCGUAAAGCUCUGUUGUAAGAGAAGAACGAGUGUGAGAGUGGAAAGUUCACACUGUGACGGUAUCUUACCAGAAAGGGACGGCUAACUACGUG
rnacentral:rRNA from 1 species